rnacentral:rRNA from 1 species
UACAGAGGGUGCAAGCGUUGUUCGGAAUUACUGGGCGUAAAGGGCUCGUAGGCGGCCAACUAAGUCAUACGUGAAAUCCCUCAGCUUAACUGGGGAACUGCGUGUGAUACUGGAUGGCUUGGAUUUGGGAGAGGGAUGCGGAAUUCCAGGUGUAGCGGUGAAAUGCGUAGAUAUCUGGAGGAACACCGGUGGCGAAGGCGGCAUCCUGGACCAAUAUUGAACGCUGAGGAGCGAAAAGCCAGGGGAGCAAAGCGGGG